UCCCCUAGACUUAUACAGCGGACACAUUGGGCAGACACAGAGGUAGGUAUUCCUAGCAUAGCCUAGACACGAAAACCAGGGGAAAAACUUGGGACUAGGAAUCUCCAUAUCGGAGAUGAGCCCUACACUAUUAAUUCCCCUUUCCACUAACCGGCUUGUAAUACAUAAACCUGUUAUAUUGUUGUAUUUAGGUAAAGCCUGUUAAACAUGUCAUGUCAAUGUAUCACGCAUUGUAGACCACCAAACCAUGUAUAAUCAUUGUAAUAAGCAUCAUCAAGGCAAGUGCAUAACAGCGUCAACUAAUGAGUUCAUGGAAAGAAAAAAAAAAUAAACUGCCUUCUUAUAUAAUCAAUAGACGGGCAGAAUAUAUAUAUUUAUUUAUUAUAAAAUGUAAUAUCCACAUUGAUAACAUCAGACAGGUUAAAAUGUCACUUUCCCUGGAAAAGUGUGCGGAGCCAGUCUACUUGCCAUUUGCAAAACCAAUGAGUUUCAGAUGACAUUCCACCUCUUCAUUGUUGCAUUUGUGGGUGCAGCUGCAGCUCUUGUGGCUCUGCUCACUUAUAUGAUAGGGGCAGCUUUCAACUAUGCUGUGCUUCGAGUUACUGGCCAGGCCGGUCGUUCAAAGUUUUAAGCUCCGAGCUGGGGGACUAAGUACAAACUGUCUUCAAACUAUGUUCGUAAUCUCAUCGUUUAAUUCCUCUUCUCUUAAUGGACUCAUAAUAAUAUGGAUAGCGCUUUUCCAUAGCUGGUCUGCCCUUUGUAUCCAGCUUUCAACGUCCUAUUGGCGUAGAUAAAUUUCAUCUCUACGUCGAAGCACUGUAUACCUAAAGAUCGAGGUUCUUCGGCUCAUGUCACUGAAGCAAUGGAC